UACGUAGGCAGCAAGCGUUGUUCGGAGUUACUGGGCGUAAAGGGUGCGUAGGCGGCUCUAUAAGUAUGGUGCGAAAUCUCCCGGCUUAACUGGGAGGGUGCGCUAUAGACUGUGGGGCUAGAGUGUGGGAGAGGAAAGUGGAAUUCUUGGUGUAGCGGUGAAAUGCGUAGAUAUCAGGAGGAACACCGGUGGUGUAAACGGCUUUCUGGACCAUAACUGACGCUGAGGCACGAAAGCGUGGGUAGCAAACAGG
rnacentral:rRNA from 1 species